AAUCAGUCCAUUUCUUCGUCUAUCUCUCUGUUCUUUCUCUGUCAAAAAGCCAAAGAUCUCUGCGGUGGAACGAAAGAAAUCGCCUUUGCUCUUGAACGGCCAGUGAGAGCCUGGGCGAUGCUGCUAGUGGAGUACUUAGAGAUUAAUUAGGAUCUUUGGCCGAGAAGAUCUGGAAUAGUAUUGAGCAAAAGAGAUGGCUUGUGGAGUUUGUUUGAACCAUUGCAACUAUGAGAGUGAGGGAAGCGGUUUC